CUGCUCACUUCCACAGCACAAAUACUAAAAUUGGAACAGCUCAAAGAUUAGCUUGUACUCUGCACAAGGAUGACAUGUUAAUUCAUAAAGCAUUCGUAUUUUUU
ensembl:snRNA U6 U6 spliceosomal RNA